UGCUGCGUUGUGCUGCGGGGCAGUGCGGUGUUUUGCGCUGCGCUGCGUUGGGCUGCGGGGCGGUGCAGUGCGUUGUGCCGCGCCGCGUUCCGCAGACGCCGCUCCGCGCGCGUUGCUCGAGGGCGCCGGCGGCGGGCGGCUGCUGGCGGCGGGCAGCAUGGUGCGAGCGCGGGGGGCGUCCGGCCCCGGGUGCCGCCUGCUGCUGCUGCUCGGCCUCCUGGCGGCCCUGCGUGCCCGGGACAGCCGGGCUGCUCCGCGGGCAGCGCCGGGCCCAGCGGUGGCUGCUGGUGAUGCUGGUGCUUGGCCGGAUGCAGGACCGAAGGCUUGGGAAGAUGCUGGAGGUGAGUCCUCGGGGGACCUGACCUUCCCUUCCCUUCCCUGGCAAGACCAGAAGCAUGCCUUUCCUGCCGCCGCUUUGGCCUUUCGGUGGCCGGGGAGCUCUUGUGCCCGCGCAGGGUAAACGAUCUUUCGUGUCAUCUGGUGCUGAGAGUUGCCCCUUUGCAGAGUGCUGUCCGUUAGAGAGCUCCCUGCAAGAAGGUGCUGAGGGCCUGUGUGUUUGUCCUGGGGGUGCUUGGGGCCUGUGGUAUAGCGCCUGGAUGCAGGAUUGGGAGAGCUGCCAGAUCCCAGCCAACAGGUCCCCCCCGGCUCCUCUGCACUUGUGAGGCUCUCGACCCACAUGUGUGACCUGGGGAAGGCUUCCGAGAUCUGCACUGGGAGCUUUGGCGCGCAAAGCACUUGCCGAGUCCCCCGAGCCUGUGCUGCUUCCAGUGCCUGCUGCAAAGCCAGGGGACAUGAUGGGGUUGAGCCUACAGCUUGUGUGAAGUCCAGGGCACCCUUUCCCCCAGCAGCUCCAUGCCCGCUGAGAUUUAUGCCCCUAUGGUGGCACUGCAGGCACCUGCUAAGUGCUCGCCAGAUGCACCUGAGUGGAAGUGUGGUGUAAUUUUAUGCUCCCUGUCGUUCACCACCAUUCGAAUCAGAAGAAGAGUGUGGAAAUAUGUACUGAGAACUGCUAUGUGAACCCAUGUGUGUUUGGUUACAGAUGAGGCUGUGGUUGAAGGUUAUCCCAGUUCUCGCCUGGAUCCCGUUGUUGAGGCUCGGGGUCUUCCCAGGCGUGGUCCAAGAGUUGCUGAGCCUCGCAGGGGUGCCAGGGGCGAUGGUUACCGAACUUUUCGGCAGUAUCCAGUUCUCGUGCCUCGGGAGGAUCCCUGGGCUGUGGCCGUAGCGGAUGGAGAUCCCUCUUCUGCUCUGGAGCCUGGACUGGUGACUCCGGGACAUCGUGGAGGUGUUCCUGUAGGCAGUGGCCUCCCAGCUUCUCAUCCGGAUGCCAUUGUUGUGCCUCAGGGGCAUGCCAGGGUGCUUCCACAUGUGUCAGAGCCAGGAGAAGCCCCCCACAGCAGGAAAUACUCCUUUUUUCCAGUGC